GACGUAGGGCGCGAGCGUUAUCCGGAAUGAUUGGGCGUAAAGCGUCCGCAGGUGGCUAUGUAAGUCUGCUGUUAAAGAGUGAGGCUCAACCUCAUAAGAGCAGUGGAAACUACAUGGCUAGAGUGCGUUCGGGGCAGAGGGAAUUCCUGGUGUAGCGGUGAAAUGCGUAGAGAUCAGGAAGAACACCGGUGGCGAAAGCGCUCUGCUAGGCCGCAACUGACACUGAGGGACGAAAGCUAGGGGAGCGAAUGGG
rnacentral:rRNA from 1 species